rnacentral:rRNA from 1 species
UGCAAGUCGAACGAGAGACUCUUCGGAGUAGUACAGUGGCGAACGGGUGAGUAAUACAUGGGUAAUCUGCCUUUGAGCGGGGGAUAACCAGCCGAAAGGCUGGCUAAUACCCCAUACGCUUCCGGUCCCUCGGGUAAGGAAGGAAAGCUGCAUCGUGGAUGUGGCACUCGAAGAUGGGCUCAUGGCCUAUCAGCUUGUUGGUGGGGUAACGGCCUACCAAGGCAACGACGGGUAGCUGGUCUGAGAGGACGAUCAGCCACACUGGCACUGAGAUACGGGCCAGACUCCUACGGGAGGCAGCAGUGAGGAAUAUUGCGCAGUGGGCGAAAGCCUGACGCAGCGACGCCGCGUGGGGGAAGAAGGUUUUCGGAUUGUAAACCCCUUUUAGGAGGAAAGAUGGGGUGGGUUUCCACCCGGACGGUACCUCCAGAAAAAGCCACGGCUAACUUCGUGCCAGCAGCCGCGGUAAUACGAAGGUGGCGAGCGUUGUUCGGAUUUACUGGGCGUAAAGAGCACGUAGGCGGUUUAGUAAGCCCCUUGGGAAAGCUAUGGGCUUAACCCAUAAAGGUCGAGGGGGACUGCUAAGCUAGAGGGCGGGAGAGGAGCGCGGUAUUUCCGGUGUAGCGGUGAAAUGCGUAGAUAUCGGGAAGAAGGCCGGUGGCGAAGGCGGCGCUCUGGAACGUCUCUGACGCUGAGGUGCGAAGCGUGGGGAGCAAACAGGAUUAAUACCCUGGUAGUCCAC